UUUUAUCAGAGAGUUUGAUCCUGGCUCAGGAUGAACGCUGGCGGCGUGCUUAACACAUGCAAGUCGAACGGGAAACC
rnacentral:rRNA from 1 species